AUUUUUCCUCCGUUAACGCUGCAUUGCCAGAAGUAUUCGCUCACCCAUCUGAAACAUUGAAUUCAGGUGUUCCAAUCACUUCCAUGGCCACAGGUGUAUAAAACCAAGCACCUAGGCAUGCAGACUUCUACAAACAUUUGUGAAAGAAUGGGAGCUCAGUGAAUUCCAGCUUGGUACCAUGAUAGGUUGACCAUCUGUGCAACAAGUCCAGUCAUGAAAUGUCUUACCUACUAAAUAUUCCGAACUCAACUGUGAGUGGUAGAAGCAAAUGGGAAUGACAGCAACAGCCAAGAAGCGCGUGCCAGUUUAUGGGCGCCAUCAGGCCGGAAGGUGUUUCCCGUGUUGAAGCCGCCACACCUGUCUGCCGUCUAGAUUGGCCACUACUUAACUGUUUGACUGAGCUUCAGUCAACGCUGGAUUGUUGAGUUACCAAGAGCGAAGUGUUUGUAAAUGUCGAGUGUUGGAGUUGUUUUCCUGUCACACCUGGACCACCAGCACAAUCCUGCAGGAUUGGAAAGUCCUGCAUUUGGGCCCCAUUCUCACCACGCACCUUAACAUAAAUAAUAAACACUUUGAUUGAGAAA